GUUUUUCGCCGCAGGCGAAAAAAAAAUUUGUCCAGAAAAAAAACCAUAGCCCCCCCCUGUUGCUGCCUUAGAACAAAUACCAGAGACAUAAUCAUCAUAUAUUAUGUCUCUGACAAUACAUUGUAAAUUCUUUUUUUGAACUCAGGAAAUGUUCAAUGUUUUAGAAAUAACAGAUACAUUUGUAGGUAUACAUCACACACACAGCAUGCACACAAAAGAAAAAAGUAAGAUGAGCAAUUUCCUAUAAACUUUCAUCUAGAGACUUAUUUGUUUUCACAACAUUAAAUUGAGAAUAGAAACUGGGAAUGUGUCAAAGAGACGAAAACCCAAAGUAGAAUACAGCCAAUGUACAUGUAUAAACACUAGCAC
rnacentral:lncRNA from 1 species